CCCUGAUCCUAAAAAUCACAAAACAACUCAACCCACUCCUUAAUUCACAAUACCCACAAAUUUUCUCACUCCAAAAGCUUAAAAUUAUUAUUUUUAACUGGGUUCUUGUAGAAAUGGAUCUCCAUUUUUUCUUAACUAAACUUCACCCAAUCGCAACUACCAAAUUGAUGACCAAAAGUAAAUAGAAAAACAACGAUAAAAGCACAACAAGUCAACUAAGAGAAAAUUAAAGAGAAAGAGUGAUGCUUAACACUGAGCAAAUCACAAAGUUUUAAGCAAAAAGUUGAAUACUCACCUCGUAUAUACUGAAUCAGGGCUUAGAUAUCAAAUGGGGGAUAAACUCCAGAGAGAGGAAGAGGAGAG
rnacentral:lncRNA from 1 species